GCGGGAUUAGUUGAUUGGAACAACAUCACCUUCCCAAGGUGGAAAAACGGGUUCGAUUCCCGUAUCCCGCUCCA
rnacentral:tRNA from 1 species